AAGAACCACAUGAUAAAGUUCCAUCCCUUCAAACAGCAUUGAAUGGUUGGCCUACAUUUCUUGAGAAAAGCUCAACAUAGACGUUAAGAUUUUUCUCUCCUUAAUGACAGAUCUCAGUGGGAUCUGACAAAACUGUCAGAUUAGAGAGAGAUAAGUGUCGAAGUAUCUGGAUUAAAAUGUAAUCCUGCAAAAAAAGAAGCUUUGGCAUUUAAUGUUCCCAAGCAACAGGUGAAACUAAGAACUAAACUUCACUGGAGAGCAGAGACAGCAGAUUUAGGAAUUACCUGAACAAAUCCUUUUCCACUUUGUACAGAACCACUUACACAUCUAUGUAUCAGCAAGUGUUCAGCUCCCUUUCAGACUAAAAUAAACUCCAUUUUGAAGGUU